AUGUACAUUCCUACAGUGUUAAUGCAUUGGAUCCCAUUAGAACUCCGCAGUUAAGCGUGCUUGGUCUAGAGUAGUAUUGGGAUGGGUGACUGCCUGGGAAGUCCUAGUGUUUUACAUG
rnacentral:rRNA from 1 species